GAUCCUGGCUCAGGAUGAACGCUGGCGGCGUGCUUAACACAUGCAAGUCGAACGAAGCACUUUAAUUGAUUUCUUCGGAAUGAAGUUUUUGUGACUGAGUGGCGGACGGGUGAGUAACGCGUGGGUAACCUGCCUCAUACAGGGGGGAUAACAGUUGGAAACGACUGCUAAUACCGCAUAAGCGCACAGGAUUGCAUGAUCCAGUGUGAAAAACUCCGGUGGUAUGAGAUGGACCCGCGU
rnacentral:rRNA from 1 species